GAUGAACGCUAGCGGCAGGCUUAAUACAUGCAAGUCGAGGGGGCAGCAAUGUCACCGGCGAACGGGUGCGUAACGCGUAUGCAACCUACCCAUAUCAGGGGGAUAGCCUUAGGAAACUGAUAUUAACACCGCAUAAUAUUGGAUGUGGCAUCACAAUCAAUUAAAAUAUUUAUAGGAUAUGGAUGGGCAUGCGUAGGAUUAGCUAGUUGGGAAGGUAAUGGCUUACCAAGGCAAUGGUCCUUAGGGGCUCUGAGAGGAGUAUCCCCCACACUGGCAAUGAGAUACGGGCCAGACUCCUACGGGAGGCAGCAGUAGGGAAUAUUGGGCAAUGGAGGCAACUCUGACCCAGCCAUGCCGCGUGCAGGAAGACGGUCCUCUGGAUUGUAAACUGCUUUUGAAUGGGAAGAACAUACAGUUUGCGAACUGUACUGACGGUACUAUUAGAAUAAGCACCGGCUAACUCCGUGCCAGCAGCCGCAGUAA
rnacentral:rRNA from 1 species